CCGUGCUAAACGGGGUGGUAGCGGUGCCCUGUAACCCGCAAUCCGCUAUAGCGGGGUUGAAGUCUACUUAAGCGUUCUUCUUUUUAAGGUCAGGCUUGAGUAAGUGGUGUUGAAGGUUGGGUCCUAUGCAACGGGAAGGUAUGAACUCCGUCAGGCCCGGAAGGGAGCAGCGGUAAGUACUCUCUCUCGUGUGCCGUAGGGGUGCCUGGCUUGAGCUAACUGCUUAAGUAACGCUUAAGAAGAAUUGCGUGAGAGUAGAUGCACGG
rnacentral:SRP_RNA from 4 species